UUCCUAUCGAGCGCCCGAGCCAGAAGGUUUGGGGUUCAAUGGAUGCUCAGGCGGCCGGAGGGACCGGGGGCGAUCCCCCCCAGGAGCCGUUGUUUCGGGGCGUUGCUCAGGACGAGCCACCUCAGGAGGGAGCAUCAGAUUUCGUGAUAUUCCAUUUCACCUUUGUCUUCGAGUUCUAGAGUCAGCCUGUCCAUUUCUGCGCAAGUCAGUAUCUUAUUUAUUAUCUCUUCUUCAGGGUCUAUGUGUCUCUUUACUCUUCCAAUUUUGUGCAAAGACCAGUCUCGCUGCCGUUAAUAAAUGCAACAUUAACUACAUUGUUCCUGUAUUAUAUUUAUCCUUUGGGAUACCCAGUAGGAAGAGUUCUGGCUUUGAAUCUAUUUUUUGAUUUAACAUCUCUUCAAGCCAUCGUUUUAUCUGAUGCCAAAAAUCCUUAGCUUUUGGACAGACCCACCACAUAUGAUAGAAGGUUCCUGGCACUGCCUUACCUUUCCAACGCAUCAGAGAGAGGUUUUUCUUCCUUUUAGCUAAUCUUGUGUGUGGGAGAUGCCACCUGUAAAACAUCUUAUGAAGGUUUUCUUUGUAGGUAGUUGCUAAAGUUAAUUUCUAUUCCUCUCCCAUAAUUCCUGCCAUUUAUCUAAGAUCUAAGUAUCUAAGUGAUUUCUACAUACUCAGGGACACAAGUCCAUCACACACAAGUCCACCACUGACUUUUCAUAAAUUCAUCAAAGCUGAUUUGUGUGCUGGAUGCACGACCCCCAAAACUUUCAUAAAUACAGCCAUUUCUUGAUUAUGAUAUAUGAUACGUGUUAAAAUAGGUUUUAAUAUUCCUGAAGUAUUGCAGGUAAUUUCAUAUUAAUGCUGGACCUAGUCCAAGUUCCCUGAGAUAACAGCAACCCAGGAAACUGGAUCAGGGACAGCAUCAGUAGCUCCCUGGAUAUGGGAUGGGAUCUACUUGAGGCCUCCAGAGUGAAGUUCUGUGAUACUUUAAUGUGUAAAUUCAUGGCUGAGAUAAUCUGCCUCUGAAUCCAUUCCUUGGUCCUUCCACACCUUUCGGUUUUCCUCUCACCCAACGUUAGCAGCUUCUAUGUAUUGUUGUUCUGUCUGCAAAGUACUCAAAUAAACGGAUUCCCUAGUUCGCAUAAAGAUAUGUAGAAUCGCCCUUCUGCACUGUAGC